AGGCAAGAUGUUGGCAUAGCUGA
rnacentral:ncRNA from 20 species